UUGCCAGGGAACUACAAGCCAAGCUUAAAACCCAAAGGACUUGACGGUACCCCAUAUCCACCUAGAGGAGCCUGUCCUAUAAUCGAUAACCCACGAUCAACCUCACCAUUUUCUAGUUCAUCAGCUUGUAUACCUCCGUCGUCAGCUUACCACGUGAGCGCAACUCCAGUGAGCUUAAUGUCUUUUCACCAACACGUCAGGUCAAGGUGCAGUAUAUGUAAUGGAAAGAGAUGGGCUACACUUUCUACUCUAGAACAAACGAAAAACUAAAUAUGCAAUACUAGUUGGAAGGCGGAUUUAGAAGUAAAAAGGAAUCAGAAUAUCCAUUUUAACCAGGCACUGGGGUGUGUACACACCGCCCGGUCACCCUCA
rnacentral:rRNA from 1 species